ACUGCCUCAGUUGUCUGUGUGUGUGUGUAUUGUAUGCAUGUGAUGUAAGGUCAUUCGCGUGAAAAUAUCAGCGAGGAAAAAAUCGAAUUUUUGUGUUUUGUGUGCUAGCAUAAAAUUAAAACCGAACGAAAGACACAUCAAAAAGUAUAAGACGAAAAAGAAGAGGAAGCGCAGAAAAGUGCCUUCAAACGAAAAUAAAUACAAAAUGAGAAUUUUCUUUAAUAUUUUAUUUGCGAAAAUAGCUUCAUGAAUUAAGAACAAAAUAGAAAAGCGAGAAGAAAAA